UGACACAGCAACUCUUUCUUCAGCAGUGGAUACAGAAUGAUCCAGUUCUUAUUCCACUUUUGGUAUAUUCUAUUUGUGGGGGAAGGAGUCCAGGUCCUGCAUCCUUUCAGAUACAAUAAGUGAACAGACAUUUCUAUUGGCUUCUCUUGGACCAGCACUGAUGCUUCAUAUGUUCUAUGCAAACUCCAUGAGCGUCCAGCUUUAAAAACAUCAGACUGUCAGCAAAGUUCACAGCACAUCAGUUUCACCUCCAACCAUGUUGUCUGUAGCUCUACUGCUGCUCUUUGCAGCUGCAUCCUGUGUGAAGUGUGAACAGUUGACUCAGCCACAAUCUGUGACUGUGCAGCCAGGUCAACGUCUCUCCAUCACCUGUCAGGUCUCUUAUUCUUUGGGCAGCUACACAGCUUGGAU